CAAAAAGUGUUCUUCAAGGGCUUGCUCGAGGGACGACACCACUAGACGUACUUCACGCAUCUGAUCAGCCCCUUUUCAUACUCCAAUCAAGUUUAGAGCAGUAAGUUAGCUUCAUGGACCGCCUCUUGGAUGUUGUGUGU